UACGUAGGGUGCAAGCGUUGUCCGGAAUUAUUGGGCGUAAAGGGCUCGUAGGCGGUCCAUCGCGUCGGGAGUGAAAAGCUGGGGCUUAACCCCAGUCCUGCUUUCGAUACGGGUGGACUAGAGGUAGGCAGGGGAGAACGGAAUUCCUGGUGUAGCGGUGAAAUGCGCAGAUAUCAGGAGGAACACCAGCGGCGAAGGCGGUGCUCUGGGCCGGAACUGACACUGAGGAGCGAAAGCGUGGGUAGCAAACAGG
rnacentral:rRNA from 1 species